rnacentral:rRNA from 1 species
UACGGGGGGGGCAAGCGUUGUUCGGAAUUACUGGGCGUAAAGGGUUCGUAGGUGGCCAACUAAGUCAGACGUGAAAUCCCUCAGCUUAACUGGGGAACUGCGUCUGAGACUGGAUGGCUUGAGUGCAGGAGAGGAACGCGGAAUUCCAGGUGUAGCGGUGAAAUGCGUAGAUAUCAGGAGGAACACCAAUGGCGAAGGCAGCUCGCUGGGACGUGACUGACGCUGAGACGCGAAAGCGUGGGGAGCAAACAGG